rnacentral:rRNA from 1 species
UUCGGGGCAUUGGAGACAGGUGGUGCAUGGUUGUCGUCAGCUCGUGUCGUGAGAUGUUGGGUUAAGUCCCGCAACGAGCGCAACCCUUACCUUCAGUAGCCAGCAUUUAAGGUGGGCACUCUGGAGGGACUGCCAGGGACAACCUGGAGGAAGGUGGGGAUGACGUCAAAUCAUCAUGCCCCUUAUGGCCAGGGCUACACACGUGCUACAAUGGCGUAAACAGAGGGAAGCGACCACGCGAGUGUGAGCAAAUCUCAAAAAUAACGUCUCAGUUCGGAUUGUAGUCUGCAACUCGACUACAUGAAGCUGGAGUCGCUAGUAAUCGCGGAUCAGAAUGCCGCGGUGAAUACGUUCCCGGGUCUUGUACACACCGCCCGUCACACCAUGGGAGUUGGAAACGCCCGAAGCCGGUGACCCAACCUAAACAGGAGGGAGCCGUCGAAGGCGGGUCCGAUGACUGGGGUGAAGUCGUAACAAGGUAGCCGUAUCGGAAGGUGCGGCUG